AUCUUUAAAGUGUGUUGUUGACUUAGUUGUUUGGUUGGAGUGUUUUUUUAAGUUAAUGAAUAGAAACUUUUAUACUUGUAUACACAAUUAUGAUUGGUUCUGGGCGUAUUGGUUCUGGCUGGGAUGUCAUUGAGUGAGCGUUACAAAGUUUGUAUAGUAGGAAAUAAAGUGGAAAAGAUUUCCAAGACAUAGGAAGAAUGUUAAGAAACCAUGAAGAAAGAAUAUAAGUGAUCUGGGAGAGGGAAAUACAUGUUAAUGUUUACUUGCACGCUUGAUAAAAAUGACUGGAUAGAGCCCUGAGCCUAGUAUGAUCUCAUCACUGAGCCUGCUUUGGGCAAAUCAGACUAGAGACCUCUUCAUGCACCUUAUCUGAAUUCUCCCUAUCAGCUGGGUGUAAAGCUUCGUUUUGGAGUAGGAAUGUGAAGAACUAUCAUUUAUCACUGGAUUAAGAUAAUCCUAUUAUUAUUUAUCUGAAUCCUAAGGUGUUUACUGUUUAAUAAAAGUUGGGGAAUAAGUUUUGUUAAAGAAACAAGAUAUCAACAACAUUUCUUGCCUAAUUCUAUUUGCUUACAGCAUGUCUGUAACAGAUACUUGGCAUAUGCAGCUAUGGAAGUGCAGUGCUGAAACUUGCCUAGUAAGAAGUCUGUGAAUGCUAUUGAAAUAUUCCUAAACUGUGAUUGUGUGUUUGAUUGGUUGCUUGCGUUUUGUUUCUUUGUUGGCUAUUUUUUGGUUGUUUGGGGUAGUUGGUUUUGUUUGUUUUAAAAAGAGAAAAGAAAAAGUGAUAAUCCUAUUGGGAAAAAAGAGUCCUCUGUAUAUUUGAAACCUGAUCUACUUUGAUAGCCACAGCUUUUAUUCCCACUGUUAUUCCAGAACUAAUGAAGUGAACGGGGAGCAAACUGUUCCUUCCUGUGCAUCAACAAUUUCAUAUGUUUAGGUUACAAUAUUUUUCAAACUGUGCAGGCUAUGUCACUGGAAGGAACCACUCAAUUCCAAAAUUCUGGGAGUUUUCAAAAAUGAGUGUUAGAUAUGAAAGAAAACUGCUUCGGUCUAAAUUAAGGAUGCUUUUAAAAUGUGCUGAACUUGCGUUGUGACACUGCAUGGAGUUCUGAAGAGACAGGCAGUAAAACAAGUACCAUGUGCUGUACUUUUCAUCGUAUUAAAAAAUCAAUUGUGCUUUUCAAAUCUGCUCAGGAUGCUUUAGCUUCCUUGAAUUUGUUACCACUCGUCUUUUGGGAACCGAAACUGAGAACUGAAGCUCUUGUACUGUUGUUACAGCACCUUGCUUUUUUGAUUUUUUUUAAUAAUAUCACAGCUUCAGUGCUCCUGUUUGAGGCUGCUGUUCCAUUUUAAACUCAUAGUAAGUAUGCAAUGGAUAGCUGUGUCCAUGGAAAGGCUGUGAAUUGGCACUUUACAUGUUUC